AGUGAACGCUGGCGGUAGGCCUAACACAUGCAAGUCGAACGGCAGCACAGGAGAGCUUGCUCUCUGGGUGGCGAGUGGCGGACGGGUGAGGAAUACAUCGGAAUCUACUCUGUCGUGGGGGAUAACGUAGGGAAACUUACGCUAAUACCGCAUACGACCUACGGGGGAAAGCAGGGGACCCUCGGGCCUUGCGCGAUUGAAUGAGCCGAUGUCGGAUUAGCUAGUUGGCGGGGUAAAGGCCCACCAAGGCGACGAUCCGUAGCUGGUCUGAGAGGAUGAUCAGCCACACUGGAACUGAGACACGGUCCAGACUCCUACGGGAGGCAGCAGUGGGGAAUAUUGGACAAUGGGCGCAAGCCUGAUCCAGCCAUACCGCGUGGGUGAAGAAGGCCUUCCGGUUGUAAAGCCCUUUUGUUGGGAAAGAAAUCCAGCUGGCUAAUACCCGGUUGGGAUGACGGUACCCAAAGAAUAAGCACCGGCUAACUUCGUGCCAGCCGCCGCCGUAA
rnacentral:rRNA from 1 species